rnacentral:rRNA from 1 species
GACGAACGCUGGCGGCGUGCUUAACACAUGCAAGUCGAACGGAAAGGCCCUGCUUUUGUGGGGUGCUCGAGUGGCGAACGGGUGAGUAACACGUGAGUAACCUGCCCUUGACUUUGGGAUAACUUCAGGAAACUGGGGCUAAUACCGGAUAGGAGCUCCUGCUGCAUGGUGGGGGUUGGAAAGUUUCGGCGGUUGGGGAUGGACUCGCGGCUUAUCAGCUUGUUGGUGGGGUAGUGGCUUACCAAGGCUUUGACGGGUAGCCGGCCUGAGAGGGUGACCGGCCACAUUGGGACUGAGAUAUGGCCCAGACUCCUACGGGAGGUAGCAGUGGGGAAUAUUGCACAAUGGGCGGAAGCCUGAUGCAGCAACGCCGCGUGCGGGAUGACGGCCUUCGGGUUGUAAACCGCUUUCGCCUGUGACGAAGCGUGAGUGACGGUAAUGGGUAAAGAAGCACCGGCUAACUACGUG